CUCUGACUGGUACCAAAUUGAAAC
rnacentral:piRNA from 1 species